GUUGGACACACGAGGGCAGUCAAGCUCCAUCCAGCGCAACACACAACGCCGCCUGAAACAGAAGGUACAUCAAGGAAACGAGGGAACAAAUCCAGGACUGAAGAUGGUGCAUCCUCACCGACCACCUUCUGCCGAUACUGGAAAGUCGCUCAUCUUCUCUUUGACCACAGAUUCAUCAGUGGAAUAUCGUAUCGUAGAUAUCGCCUCCCUGCACUCCUCACCAAAUUGCUGUUGACAGAAUAACAGAGAUUCUCGUCUGGUUUUUGGACCAUCCUGAAGAACAGUCUUGGAAUGACACCGGGAGCCAGCACAGGUGUUACGUUGAACUGUCUUGAUCCUCCAUGCAAUGAAGCCACUAUUACCCUCAGGAUCAUAGUAGUGUUCCUGUUUAAGAAAAGACCCAAAGAGAGGCAUCUCGUGCUUGGCUUCAAGAAUGAAUUACUCAACACAGUAAGUUCACACAAUGACUAUAUAACACUACAAAAACAAGUGGAAAAUACAAAGCUGAGCAACCUAUAAACACUCAUCUAAAACAAGAUCAUUUUAACUUUAAAACUAUAAAAGGGAAGAAAAUAUAAAAACACACUGGUUUGGGUUUUCAGACAGAACUUACAUAUCCAUGUUUGGAGAAAGGAUCUUGGAGGUAUGGAAAAAGUGUCACAAUUCCCAGUGCAUAAUUCGUCUUGACGAUGGAAUCAUCCUUUCAAAUAAAUCAAUUUACUUUGCAAGCGUGUAUGUUUUGCAAGAAGUUAAAGGAUAAAUUCCCCUUUUAUAGCAACACAGAAUAGCAUUCUUUAGCUGCGCCACAUGAAUCUGUUGUGAUGACAAAGGGAGGGAAGUGACCUCCAAUUCUUACCCAUGUAGCUCUAACAUGUCUGCAACCAGGACGUUCACCAUCUGUUAGUGUUUUGGUCUUUUCAUACUCCUUGAAGAUUUCCUCACCCUUUGGAUUGGCCCUCAGAACACAAUCAACUUUCUGCCAAAACAUCUUACAUUGUUAUGACAUGCUCAUGGAAAUUUAAGAGGAUUUUUAAUGCCUUUCCUUUAUGCCGAGAAUACAUUUACAAAACACUUCUACAGAUAAGUAUCAAUAAUAAACAAUUACGUAAUUGAGGAUUUUAAAUGCAUUUAUUCAAAGCUUACCUGUCUUGCUUCAUUCUGGUCCAUUAACCCUGUUGGGUUCCUCCUCUUUCUUGUGGACUCCAGGACAAUUGUGGAAUCUGAUGAAUGGGAUGAAGCUGGGGAUAGUGGAGUCAGUACAGAGGAGGAUGCUUGAUCUGAGACCAGUUGAACAUCCAGAUGUACAAAAUCACAGACAGAACAAAAUCAAUUUAAAUGUACAUGUAUUUAUCAGUAACAAAAGCAUUUCAACAAAUACUUGAAUGGUUACAUAAAAAAAUAUAAAGUAUAUUAUCUUCAUUAAGUACUUUUUACGAAUAAGAUGUACUUAACGUAAUGAUCAAUAGUAUAGCAAAUGAUAAUAGUUUGAGGUCCCUCAAAAAGAUAUUUUAGACUCUGCUCCUAGGUAACUUCAUGUGUUCCCUACGUGGCCUCAUCUAUUUCACUCGAGAAUAUCCACAAAUAGGGAAGAAGAUUACAAAAAUAAAGGUAAUGUAUACAAUAAUUAUCGUGAACGGGUUUAAAAAAGGGGAGAGAGAGUAAUAGUAAUCAUGUAAUAUUUCUUGGCUAACUACCACAAACUUGGAACAGAAUACCCCUUCUGGGAAACUGCCGUUCCCGAGUUUGGACACACGAGGGCAGUCAAGCUCCAUCCAACACAACGCCGCCUGAAACAGAAGGCAGGUUUGGGCUAUUUUACACUGACGCAGCUCAUCAGCGUUAUUACUGUGCAUUGUCUAGUUUUCACGUAUCAAGGACAAUACACGGAGCUUCUGAACUGUUUAACAGCAUCAUCAUUAUGAUUUAAUUUUUAAAGAACGCACCCUCUUCUCUAGACAUGGAAAUGUUGGGUUUUUUAAGUUUACAUUGUCACACAGCAGCUGUACAGAUAUCUGGAUAUAUUAUUUCAGUGUCCAUUCUUAAACACGACAGAUGAACAAACAAAGAAACUAACCACAUGAAAAGGUUAGAUAGACCAAUGAUUAAAUACUACCCUGCUCAAAUGAAUACAGAGGCCAGCUCUGAUACCACAACGUUUAAAAACCUCGACAUUCGCGGCGUCAUAAAGGGAACAACCGUCAAGCAUACCAUCAGGAAACUUAUAGAACUCUGAACGUGACGUCAUAACAGAUCUUAUGGCUCGCUGCUCCGAUUUGACUAUAUAUGUCUGUGCGCGCGCCGGGGAGACUGACCUGGACACGGUAUAAGGACAGCACACAAACACAUUUAAAACAUAUUAACACAUUAACAUUAUAUCAUGUACAUAGCAGUAUAGUUAUCAUAAUAAAGUACACAAAUUUACUGCUAAUAGUAACAUUAUUAAUGUCUUUCUAAUCUCAUUAGUCAUUUCAUUCUCAUCACUGCUCCUACAUAACUUCAUGUGUUCCCUAGGUGGCCUCAUCUAUUUCACUCGAGAAUAUUGCUGGCUCAAAUUUAGCCUAUUACCUGAAGACACUUAAAAAUUCAACAUAGAAGCAAAUACUCACAUCUGCAAACCCAGUUGGAGAUAGAAAAAUAAGACAACAGCCGUGAGGGAGAAGAAGCAAGGUUCCAGAUUUAUUGGUUCCGUUCCACCACACGAGAUCCACACCGAUGAGAAUUCUCAGAAGUUAUCUAAAAAACCAGAGCUGAAGCUCUUCUAUUUAUACAGUUUUCUUAGGGUCAGGAUGACCCAGACACGAAUGUGUUUUAGAAAGAGCUUAUCAAAAUUACCAUUCUGUUUUAGAAAGGGCUCAUCAAAAUUACCAGUAUGUUUUGAAAAGAGCCUUUUCCAAACACCAUUAGGUUUGAAAGAGGUACGAGACACAACAUUUCGGAGAGACCUUGGUCUCACAGUUAUCUCGCGUGUGCAACGUGACUCAACUACCCUUAUAAAUGGCCCCUCUUGGUUCUCUCUUAAAAAUUAAGGCCUUCGUCUGUAUUACUCCUGACUUUUUCUCGUGAGACAAGACUCUUCCCCACCUCCAAGUAUAUUAUGAGCCUGUGUGUGUGUGUGUGUGUCUCUUAGUUGGCCGUCCACCUACGCUCUGAGGCCUGCCGCACUAAUCAAAUACAUGUAUGGUUUGCUGUGUGUUGUGUCUUAGGUAAACAUCCGUUCAUACAGUGCACCAGACCGGUGAAUUCUCAAUAAGAUUACAUAUUACUAAUACUAGGUCUCCCUCGUGUUUAUUUCAUGUAUAUUUUAUAUACAACAAUAUCCACAAAUAGGGAAGAAGAUUACAGAGAUGAAGGCUUAAAACGUGCUUGAAUGAUAAAAAGUCAAUAAAUACAAAAUCACUAAAUAACUUUAAAGGGUUUAUUUUCUAUAGAACAUGAAUACAAUCCUUUCACUCAAAAUAGGACUCCCCGCUGCAGACCC